GCUGGACACAGUAGUGCAUGCCUGUAAUCCUAGCAGCUUGGGAAGCUGAGGCAGGAGGAUCGCAAGUUCAAAGCCAGUUUCAGCAAGAGCAAGGAGCUAAGCAACUCAAUGAGACCCUGUCUCUA
rnacentral:sRNA from 1 species